GAUGAACGCUGGCGGCGUGCCUAACACAUGCAAGUCGAGCGUGAACCGUCUGAAUGAAACUUCGGUCGAGUGAGGAUGGGGAAAGCGGCGGACGGGUGAGUAACGCGUGGGCAACCUACCCCAAAGUCCGGGAUAACAGUGGGAAACCGCUGCUAAUACCGGAUGGCUUUACCUGAGGGCAUCCUUGGGUAAAGAAAGGUUACGCUUUGGGAUGGGCCCGCGUCCCAUUAGCUAGUUGGUGAGGUAACGGCUCACCAAGGCGACGAUGGGUAGCCGGCCUGAGAGGGUGACCGGCCACACUGGGACUGAGACACGGCCCAGACUCCUACGGGAGGCAGCAGUGGGGAAUAUUGCGCAAUGGACGGAAGUCUGACGCAGCGACGCCGCGUGAGCGACGAAGGGCCUUCGGGUCGUAAAGCUCUGUUCUUGGGGACGAAGGAAAUGACGGUACCCAAGGAGAAAGCCCCGGCUAACUACGUG
rnacentral:rRNA from 1 species